UACGGAGGUGGCAAGCGUUAUUCGGAAUUAUUGGGCGUAAAGCGCACGCAGGCGGUCUGUCAAGUCGGAUGUGAAAUCCCCGGGCUCAACCCGGGAACUGCAUCGGAAACUGGGAGGCUAGAGUCUUGUAGAGGGGGGUAGAAUUCCAGGUGUAGCGGUGAAAUGCGUAGAGAUGUGGAGGAAUACCGGUGGCGAAGGCGGCCCUCUGGACAAAGACUGACGCUCAGGUGCGAAAGCGUGGGGAGCAAACAGG
rnacentral:misc_RNA from 1 species